ensembl:lncRNA
AUCGCCGCGUGGACCCGGUCACUGAAGCUGCGGGCGGGCUUCGGCGCCACCUGGCGGCGAGGCGCGGCACUGCAGGCGCUCCCGGGGCUGUCGGCGCGUCGCUGUUCUCGCGUCGUUGUUUUAGUGUCUACAGCUCCAGAUGUGUCAAUAAAAUGUUAAAGUCAAACUUGAUAGAGAAGCAGCAGUUUGGACAUAUUUCUUUUCUUUUUUCGGUACCGGGGAUCGAACUCUGGUUCUUGCGCUUGCGAGGCAGGUGGCAGAACCACUGAGCUACAUCCCCAGCAGCAUUACUAUUUAUUUCCCCAGUUUUAUUUAUUAAGUUUUAAGCUUUUCCCAUUUUAUUUAGAUAUAAUUAGCAAAUAAAAUUGUAUAUUUUUAUGGGAUACAACACGUUUUCAGGUAGAACAUUUAAAACACUGGCUCCAGUAAAAUUCUACACAUUGCAUUUGAAACAGUAAAUGUCCCUCCUGUCUUCUUUUUUCUUCUUCUUUUUUCUCUCUCCCUUCCUUUUUCCUUUCCUUCCCUUCUCCUCCUUUCCUCUCUCCUUCUCUUUCUUUUUUCCCUUCCUUUCUUGCUGGGGUUUGAAUCCAGUGCCUGGCACUGGGCCACAUCCUUCACCCUUUGUGAGAUAGGAUCUUGCUAGAUUGCCCAGGUGGUCAAGAGCUUGUGACCCCCCCGCCUCAGCCUCCUGAGUGGCUGGGAUUACAGUUGUGCCCCACUGCUCCUGGCUCUCCAUCUCUGUAGUCUGAAACAAUCCAGUCCUUUUUCUUCUUAGAAUUGACUUUUUUUUUUUGGUACUGGGGACCAAACUUGUGUCCUUGCACUUGCGAGGCAGGCAGCGGAACCACUGAGCUAAAUCCCUGGCCCUAGAAUUGACUUUUUGAAGAGGCGAGGAUAGAUGCCAGGCAAGUGCUCUGCCGAGGAACUGCCUUCCAGCCCCAGAUAAACGUUUUUGCAGUCAAUAUAGCUUUUCUGUAAGAGUUGUCAUAGCCAUAACCAUCGUCCUACCUCUAAGUAGAAGUCCCUACCAGCAGAAUUUUAGCACUAUCUAUAGUUCAAAAUAAUUGAGAAAAAAAUCAAUAAAUACAACAUAAUACUACAAAAUUAUUUGUCUACUGAAAGACCUGUUUUGAAAAUUUAUAGGUUAAGGCAGUCAAAUUGUAGUUGUUAUCAGUGAAGCUUCAGGUAUUUUACUUAAAAAUGUUUUAGUAAUUUACUUGAGCUGUGUGCACUGGUACACACCUAUAACCCCAGUGCUCAGGAGGCUGAGGCAGGAGGAUCUUGAAUUUGAGGCCAGCCUGGGCUCUGCAGCAAGUUCAGUCCAAUUGUGGAUUACAUGGUGAGACUCUUGUCUCACAAAAAAAGUGUUUUAGCAACUUACAUAAAAUGUAAAAUGUGAAAGAUACUUUUUGCUGAUCCCUUGGAAAUGAAAGUAUUGACAUCUAAAAUAACAGCCUAUUUUAUUGUGAGUAUUUGAGAAAAACGUACAUGUUUAGAUUUUUAACUGUGUAGCCUGGGAGAGAGCUGAUGUUUGCAGGCCAAAGUUUUACAAAAUUUUCUGAACAUUUUAAGUUGGAACUGUAAUUCACCACAUUAAAGCGCAUGUCUUUGACGAUAUAAAUCUGUGAAUAAAC